rnacentral:rRNA from 1 species
AGCGAACGCUGGCGGCAUGCUUUACACAUGCAAGUCGAACGGUAGCAGGGUGCUUGCACCGCUGACGAGUGGCGAACGGGUGAGUAAUGCGUCGGAACGUGCCGAGUAGUGGGGGAUAACGCAGCGAAAGUUGUGCUAAUACCGCAUACGUACUGAGGUAGAAAGUGGGGGACCUUCGGGCCUCACGCUAUUCGAGCGGCCGACGUCUGAUUAGCGAGUAGGUGAGGUAAAGGCUCACCUAGGCGACGAUCAGUAGCGGGUCUGAGAGGAUGAUCCGCCACACUGGGACUGAGACACGGCCCAGACUCCUACGGGAGGCAGCAGUGGGGAAUUUUGGACAAUGGGCGAAAGCCUGAUCCAGCCAUGCCGCGCGUCUGAAGAAGGCCUUCGGGUUGUAAAGGACUUUUGUCAGGGAGGAAAUCCCUAGCGUUAAUACCGCUGGGGGAUGACAGUACCUGAAGAGUAAGCACCGGCUAACUACGUGCCAGCCGCCGCCGUAAAAC